GAAUUGUUCACAAUGGGCGCAAGCCUGAUGACGCAACGCCGCGUGGAGGAUGAAGACUUUCGGGUCGUAAACUCCUUUCGACCGAGAUGAAUUUCCGCCGACCUAACACGUUGGCGGGGUGACAGUAUCGAGGGAAGAAGCCCCGGCUAACCACGUGCCAGCAGCCGCGGUAAUACGGGGGGGGCAAGCGUUGGUCGGAAUUACUGGGCGUAAAGGGUUCGUAGGUGGCCUGCGAAGUCACACGUGAAAUCCCUCAGCUUAACUGGGGAACUGCGUGUGAUACUGGCGAGCUUGAGUGCAGGAGAGGAACGCGGAAUUCCAGGUGUAGCGGUGAAAUGCGUAGAUAUCUGGAGGAACACCGGUGGCGAAGGCGGCGUUCUGGACUGCAACUGACACUGAUGAACGAAAGCCAGGGGAGCAAACGGG
rnacentral:rRNA from 1 species